GAACUUCUCUCCACUGUCAUUAUGGAUGGUUGGAUGGCUGGACUUGGCACUGCUGUGCCUCCCAACACAGAUGCUCUCGGUCAGCUUCUAUCAGAGUAUACCAAGAGAGUUUAUACUUCUCAAUUACAGCACCUGAAGGAUAUUGCUGGAACCCUGGGAACAGAAGAGGCAGAAGACUUGGCACAUGUAGCAAAGCUUCGUUCAGCUCUUGAAUCUGUUGAUCAUUAGAGAAGAAAGAUUUUGCAACAAAUGAGAAGUGAUGCGGUCCUAUUAACACUGGAAGGUGGUGGUUCAUCCAUUCGCAAUCCUUCCACUGCUGCUGCAGAUGCGAGAUUAGCAUCUCUUAUUUCUCUUGAUGGCAUAUUGAAGCAAGUCAAGGAUAUAACGAGACAAUCAUUUGUCAACACCUUGAGCAGAAGUAAGAAGGCAGCAAUGCUAGCAUCUCUGGAUGAACUGGCAGAGCGGAUGCCUUCUUUCCGUGACAUGGACCAUCCUUGUGCCCAGAAACAAAUCUUUGAUGCCCGUAGUGCUGUUGAGGUUUGUCAACCUUGAAAAAAAUCCUCAAUCCUGCAGAUUCUUUUUUCGGGUUACAGUGGAAUUCAUGUGCAUCUAUACCAUAUUGUAGAGAACCAUGCAGGAUCUCAUAGAAACCGACAAUCAUUGUCAGUUAUCAGUAAGUAAAAUGUUGGAUGAUUAGGGAAAUGUCCUAUAGAUCUGCAUAACAAUAACAGUAAAGUCUUUGGGCAA